CACUGGGGCACAGGAAAAAAAUGCCAGAGAUGUCCACCCCUAAUUUUUUUCCUCUCCUCUUCUGGGUUUCUGUUGUAAUGGAUUGAAAAUACACAGGAGAUGUAAUGCAAAACUUGGCUUUGAUUUUUUUUUCCCACCUAACUCUUUAAAGGUUUGGAAAGAUUUGAUUACAUGGCAGGGAAAGUAAAAAUGUGGAUGAGAUAUCCUGACGCUCAGGCCACAUGACCAGGUGAUAAGGCGUUCAGAGACUGCCAGCGGCAGCUGCUGGCUCAGGUGCGGCCUGUGUGGGAGGACUCGUGUCUCGGUGGUUACAGAGAAGCUGGCUUCCACGGUGUGAACCCGACUGAAUCACAGGCCGCUUUUUUGUUCUCCCUCGGCCUUGGAGGGCCUGGGACGUUCCUGUUGCCCAACAUCCUGGUGAGCUGAGAACAUUCUGUAGAUUAAUUAGGUUCUCUCCUCUGGCUCAGCAGGUCUGUUCUAGCCAUUUGACCAAAGGCUCUCUGAUAUUUUCUACCAGCCUUAGAACGACAGUCUGCAGAUGUGUGCACAUAAAUGUCUGGGAGGAGCACACAGAUACUGUGGGAGGAGUGGGUCCGGCGUAGCUAUUGGGAGAUCUCGCUCGUACACAUGGCGCUACAUAGAAAGAAUGCCCUGAGGUGAAGGUGACAGCUCGGCAGUUUCUUAAUACCCUGAACUUGAGCGUGGCCUGCGCUAGAGAAAAUACACGGUGCUUCUUAAAAACAAAAGCCAGCAGCCUGCAAGAGGGCUGUGCCUGCGAGUUCCUGGGAGCAGGAGGGGGCUGUUCCUCCGCCCCUGGCUCCAGUUUCACCCAAGUCACUUCACAGCAGUUGGAAGGAGGUCACCAAUUGUUGAGUGUAGGCGGGGGGCGGGGAGGGAGAGGAAGAGGGAUGAAAAGGGAAGGCCCGGGUCAGCUGGGAGAGGAGCUCGCGGGCUUUCCGGCGGGCUGGCCUGAAGUGGAAGGGCCCAGGGCUGCCUGCCACCCUCAGAUGCCACGCAGGUGUUGGGAGGGCACCCGUCUGUGGGCUCAGGGACGUGUUCCCACCGACAGGCACAGAACGGAAAGCACCUUGGGGGAGACGCCCUUCUCCCCAUCUCAGGAGGGAGGCCGGGCCUGCAGACCUCCAGCCCUUCCCCAGCGCUCGCUGUGAGCUCCCCCCCCCCACCCGCCCCCCACGUGCUGGGGAGCAGGUCCGUUUCCCCACCAGUUUGCCUCUGGUCUUUGUGUUUGCUCUGAGGCCAGGCGCGCCCCCUGCUGCAGGCCUGGGCUCCUGUGUGGAGUUCUCCUUUCAGAUGUUGCUAAAAUGUCUUGAAAGGCUGCGGCCACACCAACAGACGUCGUCCGGCCUUCUUCACACGCAACGAAGCGCCCAGGUGGAAAUGCAUGUACCCGCGGCAGCUUCUCGGCAGCGGGCUUCCUGGGACGGAAGACACAGGCUCGCCCGAGGGAGACGGAAGCAGGGGAUCUGCUAGAACUCAGCUCGCCUCCUCCUUUCUCAGCAGGGCAGAGAAUCAUGGGCUUGUGCUGACGAAAGCUCCAGAAAAUGGACUCAUUUAACCUUUCCAAAGAUAUUAUCCAAGCUGCAAAAUCUUGGCAAUCUGAAGACCUUUUAAGUCGAUAUACCAAAGAGCUUUAGUCAGGAUUGAAUGCAAAAUGCCAAAAUUUCACUUUUAAAAUCAUCGUAACAUCUAAAUACAACCUAAGCACACUUGUAAACUGAUGCCGAACAGGCACUUGGAGAGCCCUCCCUGCACCCCUUCCUCGCCCCCUCCUUUGUGCAAAUGCUGUUUGCCCAGAACUUCAGCCACUGAAAAUCCUGGGAACUUUCUCUUCCUGGCUGCCAACCUAGCAGUUUGGACUCACAGACGAGAUUUUUAAAUCACUGAGGGAUUUAAGCCUCUCUGUGUCACAGAAAAGCGAACACCCUCCCAGUUGAAGGUGGCCCCAAAGAUGCGGGCCUGGGACCCAGGACUUCUGCAGGAGAGUGGACGCCUGGGUGCCCCCCGCCUUGCCCUGCACAUGAAUAACAGAGUACACCAGUCAUCAUAAGAAGAAAAAUUCACAUUUAAAGUUUGGAAAGCAACAGGACAAAGGUCUGUCUUCAGUGGUGCGUAGACAUGCUCGUGAUUGAAUUGGAAAUAGUUCUCUUUCCUUCUCUCUGACUUCCUAACUGAAAAGCUGCAGCGUGGGGAGAAAGGCUGCUCAGAAGCCUGGAGCCAGAACACGCACCCCGGCUUUUGCAGGGCCGGCUCACUUGGUUAGAAUCAAAGGAAAAGCCUUGUUAUUUGGGAAGCUGGGCGUCCUCACCAAAUUAGGGGAUUUAAUUUGCAGAUAUCUAAGGAGUGCUUUGAAAUGAAAGAUGAACUAAAAUCUGCUCUGAGGCCCGUGAUUUUUCACCAGUGAAGGACUCUCUUGCUGCUGGACAUACAUGAAAAGCAUCAUCUGAUCUGAAACGCAAGUCCCUGCAAGACAGAGGAGAGACUUUAUAAACAUUUUAUACCAUUCUAUGAAAUCAAUUCGAUUCAGGGCUAGAAUUCAAGAAGUAAUCCAUGGGCAAGUAUAUCUGAUGGUAAACCCAAACGAUUAUAUUGUUAACCUCUUGUACUUUUUUUAAUUUUUUAUUAUUUGAUAUUAUUAUCACAAAAGUCGCUGGAACAGGAUCCAUGAGCUGCUUCUUCACUGCUUAGUGUUUUCAGAAGCUGAUGGAUUAUUAAGCUCCAAUUGAAUACUUGAUUUCCAAUGAUUCCAUUAAUUUUUCUGGUUUGUGGUAGGAUUUGAUUUACUUAUUUUGUACUUUAACACACCAAUAAAAAAUAGAUACUAAGAAAUAGUGAAAUUUGUUGCUUCAAAAUAACCCUUAAAAUUUAGAGUUUAGUGAAAUUAAGCAAUUCAAAUAGAGAAACGAUUAUCCUUCAUUUCCUUAAGGCACAGAAAUUGAGACUAGGUUCAAGAACCUUCAUAUUUUAAAAACUGGAAAAUACUGGCUAAGUGAGGACUGGGCGGUCAUCCUCCACACAUGCUCUGUGUGCUUGGAGCGAAGAGGGGAACGCACUGAAUGAGAUGAACUGGAAGGAGGUGCAGCAGCGAAGGAAAUCCUUCUGUUGGGAGAGUUCACGUGUUUAGGAUAAUCCUUCGAAUAGGACGCAACAGUGAUGUGAGGAGAAGCUUUGGAGCUGAUUUAGAUUGAGACAGUCUAUCACAGGCUGUUUGGUUGCAUCCCUUUGGGGCCAGUCUCAUUUUAGGUCUAAAUAUGCAGGAAUGGGGCUCUGGCUUCCAGAAGUUUCAGGCUGCAAAAGGCUGGGGCCACCAUCUUUACAGAUAAUCCAUUAGUUUGAUUCUCUUGGGGGCCAGGAAGAAAACCAAGAACACUCAAUGGACUAUGGGACUCAAAUAAUCCACAGGAGGCGUUUGUAAAGGGGCAAAACUGUGUGUGCCCAGUAAUUCUUGGAGCUCGCAAUAGAGGUGGAGAAGCAGUGAUGGGCCCCACAGCAGCAGGGGCUUGGGAAUGACGGAAAAGAACAAAAUGAUGGAAGGACAGCUGGAAGAAACAGGGAAGCUUCCUUUUAACUGGAUGCUGGGUCUCAGCCUUGAAUAGUUCCUGGCCUUCGGAGGCCUUUUCUCAGGGAGCAUGGCCUGGGGACUCCCUGCUUGCUCUGCUGAGCUUUCAGGGAAGGAGAAAUGGGCAAGGCCAGAGGCGACCAUCAGGUGCUCCGUAGGCACAGAGGCAGAACUCAAGGUUUAGCUUUACCUUAAGAGGGUGACUGCAAAGUGUGCUCCCUGGACCAGGGGCCUCGGCCUCACCUGGGAGCUUGCUAAAAAUGCAAGUUGCUCUCACCCAGACUGAAUCUAAAAUUCUGGGUACAGCCCAGCAAUCUCUGCUCACACUUUCUCCAGAUGAUUCUGGUGCAAGCUAACCUUUCAAAAGUCCUGGGUCCCAUUCCCAGAGGCUGUGAUUAAGUUGGUCUAGGGCUGUGGCCUAGACCUGGGGAUUUUGGAAGCCCACAGGUGAUUCUGUUGUGCAGCCAUGGUUGGCAGGCUGUUCACGGUGCUGUUCAACAGGUCCUGCUGUGGGAUGGAAAGGGUCUGUAUCUGCACUGGCCAAUGUGGGAGCCAGCCCUGUGGCUAUUGAGCACUUGGCCCCUGGCUAGUGCAACUGAGGAGCUGAAUUUUUCAUUUCAUUUACUUUUAAUUAAGUUUAAAUAGCUAAAUGUGGCUAUUGUCUGCCUUAUUGGAUAGCAGAGUUCUAGAACCACAGAUAAAUGUAAUACUGUCCCUUUAGUUGAUUUAAAAAUCCAAUGCCUCUGUAAUCCUAGCACUUUGGGAGGCCAAGGUGGGCUGAUCACGAGGUCAAGAGAUCGAGACCAUUCUUGCCAACAUGGUGAAACCCCGUCUCUACUAAAAAUACAAAAAUUAGCCGGGCAUGGUGGCAGGCACCUGUAAUCCCAGCUACUCGGGAGGCUGAGGCAGGAGAAUCACUUGAACCCACGAGGCGGAGCUUGCAGUGAGCCAAGAUUGCACCACUGCACUCCAGCCUGGUGACAGACGGAGAUUCUGUCUCAAAAAAAAAUGCCUCACAGAGUUAAAUAUUUAAGUUGAUAAGAAAAAUGGUAGUCGAGUCUUUGAGGAUUAUUUUAAAAUCCACUUUUGGUGAUAAAUAGAUAAAAACAGUGUGGUAGGGCCCAGAAGUUCUUCCUGAUUUCUACCUGUUGGAGCUGAAUUCCUCAAUUUUACUUGUAGGAGAACGGCUUCCUAAAGGGCACCUUACCCAGCCAUUCCUGCAUGCAAGUGUGUAUGAGAACUGCAGGGGGCAUUAUAUGAAAAUCCAAUUCCUGGGCUCUAUCCCAGAUGUUCCUAUCCAAUAGGUCUGGGUUGGGGCCCUGGAAACUGCAUUUUUGGCAAACCCCUUACUGAUUUGGAUGCACAAGUUUCAAGGAACAGGCACUAAGGAUCGCUGAUGUAGAAUCUGUUUGUCCAUCCAGGAAAGCCAGAGUCACCACACUUGAGUAAAUGGGUUUUGAUGUAGGAAAGGUCUUUAUAAUUCUUUCAUGAAUUCACCAAACUUUAAAAACUGUACUAUUUUUGGCUGGGCUUGGUGGCUCACGCCUGUAAUCUCAGCACUUUGGGGGCCAAGGCGGGUGGAUCAUGAGGUCAGGAGAUCGAGACCAUCCUGGCUAACACGGUGAAAACCUGUCUCUACGAAAAAUACAAAAAAAAAAAAUUAGCCGGGCGUGGUGGCGGGUGCCUGUAGUCCCAGCUACUCAGGAGGCUGAGGCAGGAGAAUGGCGUGAACCC
rnacentral:lncRNA from 1 species